UUGAAAAGAGAGUUAAACAGCACGUGAAAUUGUUGAAAGGGAAGCGCUUGCGACCAGACUCGCCCGCGGGGUUCAGCCGGCAUUCGUGCCGGUGUACUUCCCCGUGGGCGGGCCAGCGUCGGUUUGGGCGGCCGGUCAAAGGCCCCUGGAAUGUAGUGCCCUCCGGGGCACCUUAUAGCCAGGGGUGCAAUGCGGCCAGCCUGGACCGAGGAACGCGCUUCGGCACGGACGCUGGCAUAAUGGUCGUAAACGACCCGUCUUGAAACACGGACCAAGACGCGCCCC
rnacentral:rRNA from 1 species